rnacentral:rRNA from 1 species
GAGUUUGAUCAUGGCUCAGGAUGAACGCUGGCGGCGUGCUUAACACAUGCAAGUCGAACGAACCUUCGGGUUAGUGGCGGACGGGUGAGUAACGCGUGAGAAUCUGCCCUCAGGAGGGGGAUAACGGUUGGAAACGACCGCUAAUACCCCAUAUGCCGCGAGGUGAAAUGAAUUUCGCCUGAGGAUGAGCUCGCGUCUGAUUAGCUAGUUGGUGGCGUAAAGGCUUACCAAGGCAUCGAUCAGUAGCUGGUCUGAGAGGAUGAUCAGCCACACUGGGACUGAGACACGGCCCAGACUCCUACGGGAGGCAGCAGUGGGGAAUUUUCCGCAAUGGGCGAAAGCCUGACGGAGCAACGCCGCGUGAGGGAUGAAGGCCUCUGGGCUGUAAACCUCUUUUAUCAAGGAAGAAGAUCUGACGGUACUUGAUGAAUAAGCCACGGCUAAUUCCGUGCCAGCAGCCGCGGUAAUACGGGAGUGGCAAGCGUUAUCCGGAAUUAUUGGGCGUAAAGCGUCCGCAGGCGGCCCUUCAAGUCUGCUGUUAAAAAGUGGAGCUUAACUCCAUCAUGGCAGUGGAAACUGUUGGGCUUGAGUGUGGUAGGGGCAGAGGGAAUUCCCGGUGUAGCGGUGAAAUGCAUAGAUAUCGGGAAGAACACCGGUGGCGAAGGCGCUCUGCUGGGCCAUCACUGACGCUCAUGGACGAAAGCCAGGGGAGCGAAAGGGAUUAGAUACCCCUGUAGUCCUGGCCGUAAACGAUGAACACUAGGUGUCGGGGGAAUCGACCCCCUCGGUGUCGUAGCCAACGCGUUAAGUGUUCCGCCUGGGGAGUACGCACGCAAGUGUGAAACUCAAAGGAAUUGACGGGGGCCCGCACAAGCGGUGGAGUAUGUGGUUUAAUUCGAUGCAACGCGAAGAACCUUACCAGGGUUUGACAUCCUGCGAAUCUCUUGGAAACGAGAGAGUGCCUUCGGGAGCGCAGUGACAGGUGGUGCAUGGCUGUCGUCAGCUCGUGUCGUGAGAUGUUGGGUUAAGUCCCGCAACGAGCGCAACCCACGUCUUUAGUUGCCAGCAUUGAGUUGGGCACUCUAGAGAGACCGCCGGUGAUAAACCGGAGGAAGGUGUGGAUGACGUCAAGUCAUCAUGCCCCUUACAUCCUGGGCUACACACGUACUACAAUGCUACGGACAAAGGGCAGCAAGUUCGCGAGGACAAGCAAAUCCCAUAAACCGUGGCUCAGUUCAGAUCGUAGGCUGCAACUCGCCUACGUGAAGGAGGAAUCGCUAGUAAUCGCAGGUCAGCAUACUGCGGUGAAUACGU